rnacentral:rRNA from 1 species
UAAAGCUAAUAAGAGCGCAGGGCGGAUGCCUUGGCAUUGGGAACCGAAGAAGGACGUGGUUAACUGCGAAAAGCUGCGGCGAGUUGUAAGCGAACAAAGACCCGCAGAUAUCCGAAUGGAGCAAUCCAUAUGAGAGAAGCUCAUAUAUCAUAUACUGAAUACAUAGGUAUAUGAGGGGAACCUCCUGAACUGAAACAUCUAAGUAGGGAGAGGAAGAGAAAUCAACCGAGAUUUCGUAAGUAGUGGCGAGCGAAAGCGAAAGAGGCCAAACCGUAAUCAGCAAUGAAUACGGGGUUGCGGACUGCAAUUAGCAUUGUCAAAGCCUAGUUGAACAGGAUGGGAAGCCUGACCAAAGAAUGUGAGAGUCAUGUAAAUGAAAGGCAGAGACAGCGAGCAGGAUCCAGAGUACCGCGGGACACGUGAAACCCCGUGGGAAGCCGGGGGGACCACCCUCCAAGCCUAAAUAUUCCCCAAUGACCGAUAGCGAAGAGUACUGUGAAGGAAAGGUGAAAAGAACCCCGGGAGGGGAGUGAAAAAGAACCUGAAACCCUGUGCUUACAAGCACUGAGAGCACGUCAAAGUGUGAUCAGGUACCUUUUGUAGAAUGGUCCGGCGAGUUAUCAUAUGUAGCAAGGUUAAGGACUUAAGGUCUGAAGCCGAAGCGAGAGCGAGUCUUAACAGGGCGAGAAGUUACAUGUGAUAGACCCGAAACCGAGUGACCUAGCCAUGUCCAGGCUGAAGUGGAGGUAAAACUCCAUGGAGGGCCGAACCGACCCCCGUUGAAAAGGUGGCGGAUGAGGUGUGGCUAGCGGAGAAAUUCCAAUCGAACUCGGAUAUAGCUGGUUCUCCCCGAAAUAGCUUUAGGGCUAGCGUUGUGUUAGAUUACCGGAGGUAAAGCACUGAAUAGGCUAGGGGGCGAGAGUCUACCGACCCUUAUCAAACUCUGAAUGCCGGAUAAUUGAUGCACAGCAGUCAGACAGUGUGAGAUAAGUUUCAUUGUCAAAAGGGAAACAGCCCAGACCCACAGCUAAGGUCCCUAAUGUACGCUAAGUGGAAAACGAUGUGGAGUUGCGAAAACAACCAGGAUGUUGGCUUAGAAGCAGCCACUCAUUAAAAGAGUGCGUAAUAGCUCACUGGUCGAGUGACUCUGCGCGGAAAAUAUAACGGGGCUAAGCAUGCAACCGAAGCUUGGGAUUGUCAAAAGACAGUGGUAGGGGAGCGUCGUGUACGGGGUGAAGUCGCAUCGGAAGGAGCGGUGGACUGUACACGAGUGAGAAUGCCGGAAUGAGUAGCGAGAAUUAUGUGGGAAUCAUAAUGGCCGAAAAUCUAAGGUUUCUUGGGGAAGGUUCGUCCGCCCAAGGUAAGCCGGGAGCUAAGGCGAGGCCGCAAGGCGUAGUCGAUGCACAUACGGUAAAGAUUCCGUAGCCGCCGAACUUUAAGUCAGAGGGACACUUGCAGAUAGCGGAACCCAGCCGUUGGUUGAGCUGGGCGAAAGGGACUGAAUUUAGUAGGGAAGUCCGCGAUGCUGAAAGGCGAGAAAAGCUCUGAUGAAUACUAAGGCGCCCGUACCGCAAACCGACACAGGUAGAUGAGGAGAGAAUCCUAAGGCCAACGGGAGAAGGGUUGUUAAGGAACUCGGCAAAUUGACCCCGUAACUUCGGGAGAAGGGGUGCUCCAGAGAUGGAGCCGCAGAGAAUCGGCCCAAGCAACUGUUUACCAAAAACACAGGUUUGUGCUAAAUCGAAAGAUGACGUAUACGAGCUGACGCCUGCCCGGUGCUGGAAGGUUAAGAGGAGAUGUGCAAGCAUUGAAUCGAAGCCCCAGUGAACGGCGGCCGUAACUAUAACGGUCCUAAGGUAGCGAAAUUCCUUGUCAGGUAAG